rnacentral:rRNA from 1 species
GACGAACACUGGCGGCGUGCUUAACACAUGCAAGUCGAGCGGUAAGGCCCCUUCGGGGGUACACGAGCGGCGAACGGGUGAGUAACACGUGAGCAAUCUGCCCAUCACAUCGGGAUAACUCCGGGACACCGAAGCUAAUACCGAAUACGACCACCUCCGGCACCGGCUGGUGGUGGAAAGUUCCGGCGGUGAUGGAUGAGCUCGCGGCCUAUCAGCUUGUUGGUGGGGUAACGGCCUACCAAGGCUUCGACGGGUAGCCGGCCUGGGAGGGUGACCGGCCACACUGGGACUGAGACACGGCCCAGACUCCUACGGGAGGCAGCAGUGGGGAAUAUUGGACAAUGGGCGAAAGCCUGAUCCAGCAACGCCGCGUGAGGGAUGACGGCCUUCGGGUUGUAAACCUCUUUCAGCAGGGACGAAGCGCAAGUGACGGUACCUGCAGAAGAAGCACCGGCCAACUACGUGCCAGCCGCCGCAGUAACAC